CACCGUUAAUCGGUCCUUACCUUGCAAUUUUGUAUGGUGAGUAUCGAUGCAGCUCAGGCUGUGCCUACGAGCUGACCCAGUAUUUGGCUGGUCCUUCGAGGGCC
rnacentral:misc_RNA from 1 species